rnacentral:rRNA from 1 species
AUUGAACGCUGGCGGCAUGCUUUACACAUGCAAGUCGAACGGUAACAGGUUAAGCUGACGAGUGGCGAACGGGUGAGUAAUGCAUCGGAACGUGCCCGGUCGUGGGGGAUAACGCAGCGAAAGCUGCGCUAAUACCGCAUACGAUCUGAGGAUGAAAGCGGGGGACCGUAAGGCCUCGCGCGAUCGGAGCGGCCGAUGUCAGAUUAGGGUAGUUGGUGGGGGUAAAAGGCUCACCAAGCCGACGAUCUGUAGCUGGUCUGAGAGGACGACCAGCCACACUGGGACUGAGACACGGCCCAGACUCCUACGGGAGGCAGCAGUGGGGAAUUUUGGACAAUGGGCGCAAGCCUGAUCCAGCAAUGCCGCGUGCAGGAAGAAGGCCUUC